rnacentral:rRNA from 1 species
UACGGAGGGUGCAAGCGUUGUCCGGAAUCACUGGGCGUAAAGGGCGCGUAGGCGGCUCAUGAAGGCUGUGGUGAAAGUCCGGGGCUCAACCUCGGAUCGGCCGUGGCGACUCGUGGGCUGGAGCACUGUAGAGGCGGGUGGGAAUUCCGGGUGUAGCGGUGGAAUGCGUAGAGAUCCGGAAGAACACCAGUGGCGAAGGCGGCCCGCUGGGCAGUGGCUGACGCUGAGGCGCGACAGCGUGGGGGAGCAAACAGG